rnacentral:ncRNA from 2 species
AAAUAUAUAGAAUCAUAUGGUGCCCAAUUUUAUUGGGUUAAAAGGGAAAACGGUUUAAUUCCGUUACAGCCCCCGCUACUGUAAGUGGGUAUGAAAUCCGAUGUGCCAUUGCAUGACGAGAAGGCCGGAGAGUAAAGUGAUCCACAAGUCAGGAGACCUGCCAAUGGUUUUUACUACCU